UCAGUCUGCACCUGUCUCAGGAAACAGGUCAAAAUGAGCAGGAGACACAUGAGUGUGGUUCAGCAAACGUGGGCUCUUCUCUGCAAGAAUUGUCUUAAGAAGUGGAGGAUGAGAGGAGCCACCUUCUUGGAAGAACAAUCAUUGGGUGGCCUGAUGAAAAAGGCACGGAUGAACUAGAUUUAAACUACUCUGCGGAUGUUGUGAAAGUCAUCUUUACUGAUUCUUUCUCAUAUCAUCUGAAGUUUUAUUGGGGACGUAGAAUCCCCAGGAUGAAAGAACA